rnacentral:rRNA from 1 species
GUAGUUAGAGCCCGUUAAUGGGUGAUAGCGUGCCUUUUGUAGAAUGAACCGGCGAGUUACGAUUACGUGCGAGGUUAAGUUGAGAAGACGGAGCCGCAGCGAAAGCGAGUCUGAAUAGGGCGAAUUAGUACGUGGUCGUAGACCCGAAACCAGGUGAUCUACCCAUGUCCAGGGUGAAGGUGAGGUAACACUCACUGGAGGCCCGAACCCACGCACGUUGAAAAGUGCGGGGAUGAGGUGUGGGUAGCGGAGAAAUUCCAAUCGAACCUGGAGAUAGCUGGUUCUCUCCGAAAUAGCUUUAGGGCUAGCCUCGUGAUUGAGAAUACCGGAGGUAGAGCACUGUUUGGACUAGGGGGGCAUCUCGCUUUACCGAAUUCAGACAAACUCCGAAUGCCGGAUAUUUAUACACGGGAGUCAGACUGCGAGUGAUAAGAUCCGUAGUCAAGAGGGAAACAGCCCAGACCACCAGCUAAGGUCCCCAAGUAAUCGUUAAGUGGAAAAGGAUGUGGCGUUGCUUAGACAACCAGGAUGUUGGCUUAGAAGCAGCCAUCAUUUAAAGAGUGCGUAAUAGCUCACUGGUCGAGUGACGCUGCGCCGAAAAUGUAUCGGGGCUAAACGAUUCACCGAAGCUGUGG